UCAUAAGGUCUGGUCCAGUAAGGAUGGAGCUUGUCUUGUUUACUUUCUGAGAUUUCAGCAGGACUCAACCUCCAGGACAGAAGUGGUGCAGGGGAACAGCUGUGGGAAACAUAACCUGCUAGGUGAAACAUGUAUAGCAGUUAGAGUAGCUCCCAAUGAUUGUACAUAUCCAACAGUGUCUGGUUUCUUGAUUCAAGUUCCCUCCUGGUCUCCUAAACCAUUUCUGAAAAAUAGGAAGGGUCUCCCAUACAACAUUCCAUAAGGGCUCACUCAGAGCUUGCUUCUAGGGGCUACCCUCACUCGAAGCAGGGCAACUGGUAGGGCCUUAUUCCAGGGGAUUAUAGCUAAAAGUUGUCAAGAGACUAGUCUUUUUAAGAUUAUGAUUCAUCUUUUUUUUUGCCAGUAGAUUAGAAAUUACAUGCUUCAUGGCAACCCCAACGAAGGUUUCAGGCUCCAGAUGCUUGAGUUACUAUAAAGGCCCCUCCACUGACACUCUGAAUGGACAGGAGGGGAAGUACACAGUGAGGGGCAUGCACAGUGCGCCGUGACAGUGC